GGCGAUGGUCAAACGGUCAUCACGGGGGGCUUUCAACCCCCUGUUUCGGGUUCGAAUCCCGCUCCCGCCG
rnacentral:tRNA from 1 species